rnacentral:rRNA from 1 species
UAAUUGAAGAGUUUGAUCAUGGCUCAGAUUGAACGCUGGCGGCAGGCCUAACACAUGCAAGUCGAGCGGCAGCACAAGGGAGUUUACUUCUGAGGUGGCGAGCGGCGGACGGGUGAGUAAUGCCUAGGGAUCUGCCCAGUCGAGGGGGAUAACAGUUGGAAACGACUGCUAAUACCGCAUACGCCCUACGGGGGAAAGAGGGGGACCUUCGGGCCUCUCGCGAUUGGAUGAACCUAGGUGGGAUUAGCUAGUUGGUGAGGUAAUGGCUCACCAAGGCGACGAUCCCUAGCUGUUCUGAGAGGAUGAUCAGCCACACUGGGACUGAGACACGGCCCAGACUCCUACGGGAGGCAGCAGUGGGGAAUAUUGCACAAUGGGGGAAACCCUGAUGCAGCCAUGCCGCGUGUGUGAAGAAGGCCUUCGGGUUGUAAAGCACUUUCAGUAGGGAGGAAAGGGUGAGUUUUAAUACGGCUCAUCUGUGACGUUACCUACAGAAGAAGGACCGGCUAACUCCGUGCCAGCAGCCGCGGUAAUACGGAGGGUCCGAGCGUUAAUCGGAAUUACUGGGCGUAA